CCUGGCUCAGGAUGAACGCUAGCUACAGGCUUAACACAUGCAAGUCGCGGGGCAGCAUGUCGGUUGCUUGCAACCGAUGAUGGCGACCGGCGCACGGGUGAGUAACGCGUAUCCAACCUGCCCACCACUUGGGGAUAACCUUGCGAAAGUAAGACUAAUACCCAAUGACGUCUCUAGAAGACAUCUGAAAGGGAUUAAAGAUUUAUCGGUGAUGGAUGGGGAUGCGUCUGAUUAGCUUGUUGGCGGGUAACGGCCCACCAAGGCAACGAUCAGUAGGGGUUCUGAGAGGAAGGUCCCCCACAUUGGAACUGAGACACGGUCCAAACUCCUACGGGAGGCAGCAGUGAGGAAUAUUGGUCAAUGGGCGAGAGCCUGAACCAGCCAAGUAGCGUGCAGGAUGACGGCCCUAUGGGUUGUAAACUGCUUUUAUAAGGGAAUAAAGUGAGCCUCGUGAGGCUUUUUGCAUGUACCUUAUGAAUAAGGACCGGCUAAUUCCGUG
rnacentral:rRNA from 1 species